UACAGAGGUCCCAAGCGUUGUUCGGAUUCACUGGGCGUAAAGGGUGCGUAGGUGGUUAGGUAAGUCCGAUGUGAAAUCUCCAGGCUCAACCUGGAAAUGGCAUUGGAUACUAUUUAGCUUGAGGAGUGGAGGGGGGACUGGAAUUCUCGGUGUAGCAGUGAAAUGCGUAGAUAUCGAGAGGAACACCGGUGGCGAAGGCGGCAUCCUGGACCGACACUGACGCUGAGGAGCGAAAGCCAGGGGAGCAAACGGG
rnacentral:rRNA from 1 species